rnacentral:lncRNA from 1 species
AGACAGCAGCUGCAGCGAUGUCUCCUUUGAGAGCACGCCGGCCAGACCUCAGGAACCAUUUUGGAAGCAUUUGUCCUGACAGGCUCAGCUGUUUCCACCAACAGUGGCUGAGCAAGUUUGCCACUUGGAUCCUUGCUUUGAGAGAAGAGAAUGCUUUCUCAGCUCAGGCAAGUUCAGAGGACAACAGGGACUCUUGCCAGCUCAGACUGUGCACAGGCUGCUCUGGUCACCUGCUGCAGGAGCCACCUCCCUGCUCCUUUCCUGGUUCCCAGCAGACCCCAUGGCAGUAGAUACAACAGUGACACAGAUAGGAAACAGAAAGGUCAUUUGUGGUCGAGUGCUAUCUCCCCUUAGAAUGCAACAGAAUUUAUAGGACAUGCUCCUGGAAAAUGACUGUCAUAGUCAU